AUUAAAUCCAUCAUGCAAUGCAUUUCCUUCCAAUUUUUUGUGAUAAACUAAUAGAUAAUUGACUAAAUAAACAUCUUGCAAAGUUUCAAUAAAAAUUUCCAAGUUUUUCUUACAAUUUCCGUGGUUUCCAUAUUAUUUUUAUCGAUAUUGAUAAUAUCCCGAUAUUUCCAUCGAUAUUUCCGUGUUUUUGGACUACCGAUAUUUCCGAUAUCAUCGAUAUUUAAUACCUUGCCUACCGCUAUUGCCACCAACCAGGUGGUGAAAUGUACAACCCGUACUCUAAUAUCAUUUGGCAACUAGCCAUUCAUGCCACCAACCAGGUGAUGAAAUGUACAACCCGUACUCUCCUUCAUGCCACCAACCAGGUGAUCAAAAGUAUACUCAGUACUCCAAAUUAUACAUGAGCAUUACUCAUGUCAUUCAUACAUAAACAUUCAUGAGCAUCACUCAUGACAAUCAUACAUAAACAUUCAUGACCAUCAUUCAUGUCAACAUUCAUGAGCAUCACUCAUGUUAACAUUCAUGAGCAUCACUCAUGACAACAUCCAUAAUCAUCACUCAUGUCAAUCAACAUAAACACUCAUGUCAAUCAGCUUCAAAAGCUUCAUUUACAGAGCUCUAGCCUCAAAAGCGUCAUUUACAGAGCUUUAGCUUCAAAGCUUCACUUGCAAAGCUUCACCUACAAAGCUUCAGUGCAGGGCAUACAAAUACCGCAUCCGAACAACUGCCACUUCGGCCCAUACAUGGAUUCAAUUUAAAGUCUCCAGCCAACAAACUCUAUUGACCGAAGACUUGGGGGACUACAUUAUGUACCAUAUAUUGGGCCUCAACUAGGCCUCAUGAAAAAUACUUGGGGGACUUAGCCCAUUAUUUAUGUAUUAAGGAGCGAGCUCUUAUUCUAUAAAAGGGACUCCCUCACUUUCAUUAGAGAGCACCCAUUAUUAAUGUACUGAGGAGCGAGCCCUUAUUUUAUAAAAGAGACUCCCUCACCUUCAUUAGAGAGCAACGCCGCCAGCUGAGCAAUCGCAUUGCCGCGAGCAUCACUCCGAACCCAUCACUUAUGUAUUGAGUAGCGAGCCCUUAUUCUAUAAAAGGGACUUCCUCACUACUAUUAGAGAGCAUCGCCGCCUAUUGAGCAACCGCCUCGCCGCGAGCAUCAACUCCAGCCCAUCAUUUAUGUAUUGAGGAGCGAGCCCUUAUUCUAUAAAAAGAACCUCUUCACUUUCAACGCCACAAGCCGAGCCAACCAAUGCAACAUAAACCACGAGCUGAGUAGCCUCACAACAUGUGUUACUUCUAGUUGAGCAUCAUUUCAGAUUCAGCACCGCCUCAUAUCGAACAUCAGUUCAAGACGACAUCUAGUUACUUCGACCCACACAUGGACUGAAUUUCAAGUCUCCAGCCAAAAGACUCUCUUGACUGAAGACUUGGGGGAUUACUGUUUAUACCAUAUUUAGGGCCUCGUAUUUAGAUCUCGUACAAAUACUCGGAGGACUUAAAUGUAAUUAUGUGAUAAAGGAAGGGGCAAAUAUAUAAUAAGUGAGGAGUCCUAAUUCUAUAAAAGGACCCCUCACCCUCACAAUUAGAGAAGGCCAUUUCCAGAGCCUUCUCACCCCUCUCACAUCUCCUUUCAUGACAGAGGGUUUCUCCCUUACCUCUCAGAUAAAUACAUAUUUAGUGUGGACGUAGCCCAAACCUUGGGGUGAACCACGAUACAUCUUGUGUUAUUUACAUUUCAUGCAAAUUCACGGUUGGAUUUACAUUGUACCAAGACCUUCAGUUUUGUGCAUCAACAUUUACAGAUCCACGGUUGUUGGAAAAAAAAUGAAAGAGAACCGACAUGAUUUUUUGUGUCAAUUCCCACAGACGGCGCCAAAUGUUGAUGCACAAAACCGGAGGUCUUGGUACAACAUAAAUCCGACCGUGAAUCUGCAUGAAAUGUAAAUAACACAAAAUGUAUCGUGGUUCACCCCAAGGUUUGGGCUACGUCCAAAUUGAAUAUGUAUUUAUCUGAGAGGUAAGGGAGAUAACUUCUGUCAUGAGAGGAAAUGUGAGAGGGGUGAGAAGGCUUCGGAAAUGGCCUUUUCUAAUUGUGAGGGUGAGAAGGCUCCGGAAAGGGCUCGUUCAUACCCAUCACUUAUGUAUUGAGGAGCGAACCCUUAUUCUAUAAAAAGGACUCCCUCACCACCAUUAGAGAGCAUCGCCGCCUAUUGAGCAACCGACUCGCCGUGAGCAUCAACUCUAGCCCAUCAUUUAUGUAUUGAGGAGCAAGCCCUUAUUCUAUAAAAGGGACUCUCUCAUCUUCAAGCGCCACAAGCCGAGACAACCAAGGGAACAUAAGCCACAAGCCAAACAGCCUUGCAACAUGUGCUACUUAUAGUUGAGCAUCAUUUCACUUUGAGCACCACCUCGCAUCAAGUACCAGUUCAAGAUGACAUCUAGUUACUUCGACCCACACAUGGACUGAAUUUCAAGUCUCCAGCCAAAAGACUAUCUUGACUGAAGACUUGGGGGACUACUGUUUAUACCAUAUUUAGGGCCUCGUAUUUAGAUCUCGUACAAAUACUCGGGGGACUUAAAUGUAAUUAUGUGAUAAAGAAAUGGGCAAAUAUGUAAUAAGUGAGGAGUCCUUAUUCUAUAAAAGGACCCAUCACCCUCAUAAUUAGAUGAGGCCAAUUCCUAGGCCUUCUCACCCCUCUCAAAGCUCUCACUCUCAGAGCUCUCUCUCCCUCAGAUAAAUACAUAUCAGUGUGGACGUAGCCCAAACCUUAGGGUGAACCACGAUACAUCUUUUGUUAUUUACAUUUCUUGCAGAUUCACGGUCGGAUUUACGUUGUUCCAAGACCUCCGGUUUUGUGCAUCAACAUUUGGCGCCGUUUGUGGGAAACAAUAUGAAAAGUUAUGUAAGAUCUCUUUCAUUUUUUUCACCUCCGCCGUGAAUCUGUAGAAACUUGGGAUCAAAAUCUACGCUCCUUCCGCAUCGCCGUUGAAAUCAACCCAAUUCAUUAAGUUCCAAUUCUCACCUGUUUCUGUGAGGUUCAUAAAAUGAGAAGAUGUGGAAGCAAAUCUCUCAGAGCUCAAAAGAAAAGUGGACUCAUCAUUGCAAAUCUCUACUCGCGAGAUCAUACAGGGCUCCCUGUCGCCGUGCCUUAACGGAGCCUACAUUCUAUUAAUCCCCGAACCUGCAGCUCGUGGGCCCUACACCUGAUACUUCACUCUGUUAGGAUCUCUGGAGGCCGGGCGAUACUCUGCAGCAGAUACGUCAACACCGAUCCUCUGUGCACAGUUGAGCGCAUUACAGAGCUCUAUUCUUCCCAACGUCUUCUCCGGCUUUAACAGACUCACUCGACCCGAUGAGGUUAGAUCUUCGAAGCCAAUAACGCAUUUUGGUGCCAGAGAAAAUUGGUAGGGAUGAGCUUGGGAUGUAGGAUUUAAAAUACGUUCUCGACCCGAUGAGACCGCCGCACGGCCAAAACCCCAAGAACCCACAUUAGCAGAGGCGCCGAUUGCACCACUAAAGUCAGGCCUAAUUCUAAAGCUCGUGCUCUUCUUCUCAGUCCCAUACUUUUACCUCCUCUUCUAUCACUACAAGAGAUUUCCCUAAAGAUUUUGUGUCAGAGCUUAAGAAUUACUCACAUUCAUAAAGAAAGGAUCAAAGUUGGAGUGGGAAGAAUGCUGGAGGCAAAGCUCUGUGGUUCUCAAAUUCUAUCGCCUUUUCACAAAGAAAGUGGGGAUGAGGAACUUUCAGUUUUUCCCAGGCACACAAAGGUUAUUGUCGCUGGAAACAAUAGAACCAAGUCUAUUUUGGUGGGUCUUCAAGGGGUGGUCAAGAAAGCUGAUGGACUUAGGGGUUGGCACUGGCUGAGUUUUGGGUAAGGAGCAGACUUGUAAAAUUGAGAGAAAGCAGGUCACCACGUGGUGCAGCCGGAGCCGCUGAUGGUUCCGAGAUCUGGGAGCUUGAGGCUACCCAAGGUGCUAUCGCCGCUGAAGAGGGGUCCAGAGAUUCGAACUGGAUUUCAACAUUAAACCCUCCAUCUUUUCCAAACCUGCCCCAUUUUGUUUUGUAUUAAAAAAUCCCUUGAAAUAUGUGAAGGCAGAAGAUAAGUUUUUUUUUUUCCUUUUUCUUUUUCUUUAUUAUUGAUGAUAUGAUGACUGUCUGCCAUCUGCCAGCCAAAAGAAAGAAAAACAAGGAUGGAAGAAAUAAACAACCAAGAAACUGGAGUCCAAAUCCGAAAAGAAGGAUUCCAACACUUCGUCCCUCCAGAAAAAGCUUCAAGAUUCGGUCUUUUCCAACAAAAAGACAUGCCCUCGGACAACGCAAAAAGAAAAAAAAGAAAAGGGAGACCACCAGUAAAGCUACAGGAAAAGAAACAAAAGCAGAAAAGAAAAGAGAAAGCAAAAGCAAGGAAUAAACACCCCACCGGAAUGAUGUGAUUUACUUUUCUGGUUUUUGUAUGAUGUAAUUUAUUUUUCUUAUCUUUCAGAGACAUCUGUAUAAACCCCAUCAGAGGGUAAAAAAAAAAAAAAAACGGCAAAGCCCAAAAUAAAUGGGCUAGAAUGUUGUGUAGAGGGUGAAGGCCCAUAAGCCUAAAAUAGCUCCAACCAGGCGAUCAAAAGUACGCCCAAUACUCCACAAUUAUUCGAUAACCUGCCGCUAUUACCACCAACCAGGUGAUCAAAAGUACGCUCAGUACUCCAAAAUUAUUCGGCAACCUGCUGCUAUUACCACCAACCAGGUGAUGAAAUGUACGACCCGUACUCUAAUAUCAUUUGGCAAUUAGCCAUUCAUGCCACCAACCAGGUGAUCAAAAGUACGUCCAGUACUCCAAAUUAUACAUGAGCAUUACUCAUGUCAUUCAUACAUAAACAUUCAUGAGCAUCACUCAUGAUAAUCAUACAUAAACAUUCAUGAGCAUCAUUCAUGUCAACAUUCAUAAGCAUCACUUAUGUUAACAUUCAUGAGCAUCACUCAUGACAACAUCGAUGAGCAUCACUCAUGUCAGUCAACAUAAACAUUCAUGAGCAUCACUCAUGUCAAUCAGCUUCAAAAAGCUUCAUUUAUAGAGCUCUAACUUCAAAAACUUCAUUUAUAGAGCUCUAGCUUCAAAAGCUUCAUUUACAAAAGCUCCAGCUUCGAAAGCUUCAUUUACAGAGCUCUAGCUUUAAAGCUUCACUUGCAAAGCUUCACCUACCAAGCUUCAGUGCAGGGUAUACAAAUAUCGCCUCUGAACAACCGCCACUUCGGCCCAUACAUGGAUUCAAUUUGAAGUCUCCAUCCAACAGACUCUAUUGACCGAAAACUUAGGGGACUACAUUAUGUACCAUAUAUUGGGCCUUAUGAAAAAUACUUGGGGGACUUAGCCCAUUAUUUAUGUAUUAAGGAGCGAGCCCUUAUUCUAUAAAAGUGACUCCUUCACUUUCAUUAGAGAGCACCCAUUAUUCAUGUACUGAGGAGCGAGCCCUUAUUUUAUAAAAGGGACUCCCUCACCUUCAUUAGAGAGCAACGC
rnacentral:lncRNA from 1 species